UGUUAACAUCCAGCCCUUUCUCCCCUCCCCUUAAAGACUAAAUCUUGCCUGGAUCCGCUCAGGUCUGCGGGAAGAAAAGCUGAGAAUGGACAAAGAUUGUAACAUGAGUGGGACUUCGACUGGGAGGAAGGAAACAAAAGAAAAGCAAAAAAACAGAUGGACUAUGAGAGACUUGAUUUUGGUGCUAAAAGUUCCCCAUGUACACAUGUGACAUCUUAAAACAAAUAAAGAAAUAGAGGGGUGGGGCCAACAGAAGUCAUUCCACACACACAAGUUCGUGUAAACAACGUUCGAGUAGACAUAGCUUUAAUGGUUUUGCUCUAGAGUACUUUAGACCUAUCUUAGAGCACUCACGCCAAGCUUUUUAUUAUUUUUUUCUGGGUUUUUAAUUUUGUAUAACUUUUCAGAAAUUGGAGAGCAAAUUUUGCUUGUCACUGCACAACAAUAUAAAAAGCUUAUUUAACUUAUCAAAACGUAUUUAUUGCCAAAACCUUUGCUUUUUAAUUUUGUUCAUAUUUAUCGGGAUGAUGAAUCCAUAGAAUAUAUUCUUUUAUGUUUAAAUUAUGAUCUUCCAUAUUAAUCUUAAGAUUGUGAAGUGUCUUUUUUCCUUUUUUCCCCACAGUUUAAUAUAUUAUACUACAAUGACAUUUUUUGUAACUUUACACUUUUUUUGGUUAUUUUAUUUUAAAAAAUGAAAAAUUAAUUUAAAAAAAAAUGCAAAAACUGUGUUUGGAUUAUUUAUUUUAGAACUCCCUCCCCCUUUUUUUGUGUUGGACUGCAAAUGGAGUUGUUGUGCAUCUUUGCCUUUUCUCUUCUCCUUCCCUUCUCCUCUCCCGGGUCUUGCCUACCUGGGCUUUAGAAUGUACAUACCUGAGCUCUGUUGCGAGACAACGUGGAAGGAAGACUUUUUCUUCCUCUAAUUGUAUAGAUUCUUCAAGGAGAAAAGCCUUGGGCUCAAAGUGCCUAUCUGAAGACAUUCCAAAUACAGUUUGUCUUUGCAUUUCUGUAUUCCAAGUUUGGAGUUUUCCUUGCCAAGGUGAAUGGGACUGGCACAAAGAGAAUAAUGAAUGUAAUUUUUUUUCCCCCUGUUACUGUUCGCUACACUGCUUUUUCUUCCUCUUUGUGUGAGUUUAUUUAAAAGAGAAUCUCUUUUGUAAUGACUGUUUGCAGUUUAAAUCAAUAAACCCCAAGUUUUUUCAAGAAACUGACAGUGGAGCUGGUUUUACUUGCAAAAAUUGAGGGGCUGGUUUUAGACAACCCCACAAAUGCAGGUGCUUCCCUUCUCUUGACCCUUGCAGUGCCCGCAGUGUGCCCAGGCAUCCCUCCCUGGUUCCUCAGUGAGUCAGCCCUGCAAGUGCUUGGGAGCAGAUCAGUGGCAGCAAAUAGCUGAUGUGACCUACCCCGGUGGCCUCUAACCACCUCUGUCUCUUACGGAGUGCUUGAGUCAGUCUGUUCCUGACAAGUUCUUUCUGAUGAGCAUGCCUUAAACCUGGGAUUGGCUUUUGUUGCUUGUGUGCCUUGUGUGCUCCUGCAUAGCUUCUUGCCCUCCAAGGAGGGCUUAUGUGUGUUUUGAGUGAGGAUGAAGUGGGAUAUUGAAGCCAUACGGAAGGGAUAUUAGAGAUACUCCAAAUGUCAGUCCUGGCUUGUUAGUGGUACUUGCCUGCUUGCACAGAGGGGCUGUUUGGUGCUUUGUGGGGAAGAGGGAACAUAAACCCUCAGCAAAGGCUCAGGUGUAUGCACACAUCACCCCACUAUCAAGUUUAAGCCCUUGUACAUCUUGAAGUAUCAGCAAUCCCAGAAACUUCUCAGGCCAUUGCUUUUGGAUUAUCCUUGCCAGCACUGCUCAUGGUGUUAAGCCUUGUGUUUUCACCUGUGAGCUCUCCUAUGGAGCAAGCUUUUGCUUCCAAACUGAGUCUGAAAUGUUGCUGCUGAACCACCAAUCCUUCAGCUGUCUUAACAUGCCUCAAUGUUCAGAUUUCCUAAUGUGUUUUGGAAAAGUUCCUGCCAAACAAAA
ensembl:lncRNA